CAGUCGAACGGGAGAGAAGGAGCUUGCUUCUUCGAUCGAGUGGCGAACGGGUGAGUAACGCGUGAGGAACCUGCCUCAAAGAGGGGGACAACAGUUGGAAACGACUGCUAAUACCGCAUAAGCCCACGGGUCGGCAUCGACCUGAGGGAAAAGGAGCAAUCCGCUUUGAGAUGGCCUCGCGUCCGAUUAGCUAGUUGGUGAGGUAAUGGCCCACCAAGGCGACGAUCGGUAGCCGGACUGAGAGGUUGAACGGCCACAUUGGGACUGAGACACGGCCCAGACUCCUACGGGAGGCAGCAGUGGGGAAUAUUGCACAAUGGGGGAAACCCUGAUGCAGCGACGCCGCGUGGAGGAAGAAGGUCUUCGGAUUGUAAACUCCUGUUGUUGAGGAAGAUAAUGACGGUACUCAACAAGGAAGUGACGGCUAACUACGUGCCAGCAGCCGCGGUAAAACGUAGGUCACAAGCGUUGUCCGGAAUUACUGGGUGUAAAGGGAGCGCAGGCGGGAAGACAAGUUGGAAGUGAAAUCUAUGGGCUCAACCCAUAAACUGCUUUCAAAACUGUUUUUCUUGAGUAGUGCAGAGGUAGGCGGAAUUCCCGGUGUAGCGGUGGAAUGCGUAGAUAUCGGGAGGAACACCAGUGGCGAAGGCGGCCUACUGGGCACCAACUGACGCUGAGGCUCGAAAGUGUGGGUAGCAAACAGGAUUAGAUACCCUGGUAGUCCACACCGUANACGAUGAUUACUA
rnacentral:rRNA from 1 species